UACAGAGGGUGCAACCGUUGUUCGGAAUUACUGGGCGUAAAGCGCGUGUAGGCUGCUCUGUGUGUCGGAUGUGAAAGCCCCGGGCUCAACCUGGGAAGUGCACUCGAAACUACAGAGCUGGAGUCUCGGAGAGGAUCGCGGAAUUCUCGGUGUAGAGGUGAAAUUCGUAGAUAUCAAGCGGAACACCGGUGGCGAAGGCGGCCUUCUGGACAGUGACUGACGCUGAGAUGCGAAAGCGUGGGGAGCAAACAGG
rnacentral:rRNA from 1 species